CGGAGACCGCGGUGCUCGACCCCUGAGCGCCCCGGGGAGGUUUUGGCUGUAAAGUUGAGGGUGAAGUGUGCCAGAGGCAAAUAAAUGCUUCAGGAGCGAAGGAGUUGGAAUUUAGCCAGGUGAUAAGGCAUGUGUCCUGUAUGCCUUCCUUACCUGCUUUUUGGAUGUGAGCAAGAUCAACAGUGACAGGGGCCGUUUCACUGAGUCCACACUGG